rnacentral:rRNA from 1 species
CGCUGGCGGCGUGCUUAACACAUGCAAGUCGACGGACCUUCAUUUGGAAGUUUCGGAUGGAAGGAUGAAGUGUAGUGGCGGACGGGUGAGUAACGCGUGGAUAAUCUGCCCUAGGUGACUGGGACAACAGCUGGAAACGGCUGCUAAUACCGGAUACGCUCCAUGGACGGCAUCGUCUGUGGAGGAAAGGAGGCCUCUGAAUAUGCUUCCGCACGAGGAUGAGUCCGCGUCUGAUUAGCUAGUGGGGGGUAACGGCCCACCAAGGCGACGAUCAGUAGCCGGCCUGAGAGGGUGACCGGCCACAUUGGGACUGAGACACGGCCCAAACUCCUACGGGAGGCAGCAGUGGGGAAUCUUCCGCAAUGGGCGAAAGCCUGACGGAGCAACGCCGCGUGAAUGAAGAAGGUCUUCGGAUCGUAAAAUUCUGUCAUAAGGGACGAAGGCCCUGUGUGUAAAUAAUGCAUGGGGAUGACGGUACCUUAGGAGGAAGCUCCGGCUAACUACGUGCCAGCCGCAGC